UUAGGCAGUGUAUAUAUAUACUAAAAUUAGGAUGGUGCAGAGAGGACAAGCAUGGCCCCUGCACAAAGAUGAUACACAAAUCUGCGAAGCAUUCCCUAAUUUU